UGGGGAAUAUUGCACAAUGGGCGCAAGCCUGAUGCAGCCAUGCCGCGUGUAUGAAGAAGGCCUUCGGGUUGUAAAGUACUUUCAGCGGGGAGGAAGGCGAUGCGGUUAAUAACCGCGUCGAUUGACGUUACCCGCAGAAGAAGCACCGGCUAACUCCGUGCCAGCAGCCGCGGUAAUACGGAGGGUGCAAGCGUUAAUCGGAAUUACUGGGCGUAAAGCGCACGCAGGCGGUCUGUCAAGUCGGAUGUGAAAUCCCCGGGCUCAACCUGGGAACUGCAUCCGA
rnacentral:rRNA from 1 species